AGAGUUUGAUCCUGGCUCAGGAUGAACGCUAGCGGCAGGCUUAACACAUGCAAGUCGAGGGGUAACAGAGAGUGCUUGCACUCUGCUGACGACCGGCGCACGGGUGAGUAACGCGUAUGCAACCUACCUUUUACAGGGGAAUAGCCCAGAGAAAUUUGGAUUAAUACCCCAUAUUAUUUUUAAUUCGCAUGAAUUAGAGAUGAAAGUUUCGACGGUAAAAGAUGGGCAUGCGUCCUAUUAGUUUGUUGGUGAGGUAAUGGCUUACCAAGACUUCGAUAGGUAGGGGCCCUGAGAGGGGGACCCCCCACACUGGUACUGAGACACGGACCAGACUCCUACGGGAGGCAGCAGUGAGGAAUAUUGGACAAUGGAGGAAACUCUGAUCCAGCCAUGCCGCGUGCAGGAUGAAUGCCCUAUGGGUUGUAAACUGCUUUUAUACAGGAAGAAACAUUUCCACGUGUGGAAACUUGACGGUACUGUAAGAAUAAGGAUCGGCUAACUCCGUGCCAGCAGCCGCGGUAAUACGGAGGAUCCAAGCGUUAUCCGGAAUUAUUGGGUUUAAAGGGUCCGUAGGUGGUUAUUUAAGUCAGAGGUGAAAUCCUGCCGCUUAACGGUAGAACUGCCUUUGAUACUGAUUAACUUGAGUUAUUGUGAAGUAGUUAGAAUAUGUAGUGUAGCGGUGAAAUGCAUAGAUAUUACAUAGAAUACCGAUUGCGAAGGCAGAUUACUAACAAUAUACUGACACUGAGGGACGAAAGCGUGGGUAGCGAACAGGAUUAGAUACCCUGGUAGUCCACGCCGUAAACGA
rnacentral:rRNA from 1 species